rnacentral:rRNA from 1 species
UACGUAGGGGGCAAGCGUUGUCCGGAAUCAUUGGGCGUAAAGAGCGUGUAGGCGGUUCGGUAAGUCGGAUGUGAAAGUCCAGGGCUCAACCCUGGGAUGCCGGUCGAUACUGCCGGACUAGAGUUCGGAAGAGGCGAGUGGAAUUCCCGGUGUAGCGGUGAAAUGCGCAGAUAUCGGGAGGAACACCUAUGGCGAAGGCAGCUCGCUGGGACGUUACUGACGCUGAGACGCGAAAGCGUGGGGAGCAAACAGG